CAACUCUGGUUUCUCUUCAUUACGCACAAGCCUUUCGCCUUUUACUAAAGACUUCCGUGGAGAGGAACACUUACGAGUUCAACAUAUUUUUGGAAGGGCUUUGCUUCUGGCAGAGCC
rnacentral:snRNA from 1 species